rnacentral:rRNA from 1 species
AUACGUAGGUGGCAAGCGUUGUCCGGAUUUAUUGGGCGUAAAGCGAGCGCAGGCGGUCUCUUAAGUCUGAUGUGAAAGCCCCCGGCUCAACCGGGGAGGGUCAUUGGAAACUGGGAGACUUGAGUGCAGAAGAGGAGAGUGGAAUUCCAUGUGUAGCGGUGAAAUGCGUAGAUAUAUGGAGGAACACCAGUGGCGAAGGCGGCUCUCUGGUCUGUAACUGACGCUGAGGUUCGAAAGCGUGGGGAGCAAACAGGAUUAGAUACCCUGGUAGUCCACGCCGUAAACGAUGAGUGCUAAGUGUUGGAGGGUGUCCGCCCUUCAGUGCUGCAGCUAACGCAUUAAGCUCUCCGCCUGGGGAGUACGGCCGCAAGGCUGAAACUCAAAGGAAUUGACGGGGG